rnacentral:lncRNA from 1 species
GUGGGAGUCGUGGCGCAAAGAGCUCGGGGUAGGAGCGCGCGCCCGGAAACUCAGCGGUGGCCGCGGCGAAGGGGCGGGGCUGAGGGUGGGACGGGGCUUGUGGGAGGCGUGGCGCGAAGAUUUCAGAGUUGGAGCGCGCGCGACCCCGGACUCCACGGAGGCCGCGGCGAGCAGGCGGAGCUGCGGGUCGGGACGCUCUGCGUGGGGCGGGGCGCAAGGGAGGUUUCGAGCCCGGAAGGUCCGGCGCCCAGAGCUAACGGGAGUCCCAGGUUAAACACUUUAAGAUGAGAAAAAUUGAUCUCUGUCUGAGCUCUGAAGGGUCCGAAGUGAUUUUAGCUACAUCAAGUGAUGAAAAACACCCACCUGAAAAUAUCAUUGAUGGGAAUCCAGAAACGUUUUGGACCACCACAGGAAUGUUUCCCCAGGAAUUCAUUAUUUGUUUCCACAAACAUGUAAGGAUUGAAAGGCUUGUAAUCCAAAGUUACUUUGGCAGAAGGCAUAUAUGUAAACUUUUGGCAAAACACUAGUUUUUCUUUAUAGCAUGGAAUCCAGUUUUAUUGCUGGGGUGAAAGGAUGGGGAUUAUGAGUACAGACCUUGAAGAUUGAAAAAAGCACGUCUAAAGAGCCAGUUGAUUUUGAGCAAUGGAUUGAAAAAGAUUUGGUACACACAGAGGGGCAGCUUCAAAAUGAAGAAAUUGUGGCACAUGAUGGCUCCGCUACUUACUUGAGAUUCAUUAUUGUAUCAGCCUUUGAUCAUUUUGCAUCUGUGCAUAGCGUUUCUGCAGAAGGAACAGUAGUCUCAAAUCUUUCCUCAUAAUGAUAACAAAAUGCUCUUGCAUGAUUUUUUAACAAUAUAUUUAAACAGGAAGUUGUCACUGAUAUACUUUAUUAAAAGGAUUUUUAUCAA